ensembl:lncRNA
AAUCUGCUGAACAGUUGCCGCCCCGUCCCAAACAGAACUUUCUUUGUAUUCGUAUUUGUUUUGUAGUCAUUUAGGUUUUUUGUGUGGGUGCAUUUGCGGUUUGGGAUCUUUUUUUGGUGCUCGAUUUUUGUCACAUUGCAGUCAUUUUGUGUCUCAUGUCUUUUGCGGUUACUUUUCUCUUGUUAUAUUAGAUAUUUCUGUGGUGACCUUAGGUCAUCAUGAUUUUGGGUUUUUUGUUGCUGUGUAUGUAUCUAGUUAAUCUUAUCUAUAUUUGUUUUUUUUCCGACUUUGUGACAAGGUUAUUAUAGCUGACUAAAACAAAACUAAAACUGAAGUAAAAAAAAAAAGACAUUUCACAAAAAAAAAAACAACUAACUAGAAUAAAAUGGAAAUGCAGGAUGAUGUUUAGUCAGAGUUUGGAUGCCGACUGUGAACCAACACAAUCAGUUCUGCUUUUUUAUUACCUAUUGUCAUACCUGCACUAAUUUCUUUUUGAGCUUUGCCUCCAACACAUGUCCUUCAUAUGCAGGGAGACUAAAACUAAGGCUGGAUGUAAUACAAAUUACAACUAAAACUAAAAAUUUUCUAUAAUAAAAACUGUUGUGAAGCGAGUAAACCCAGUCUGCAAAAUGAAUGUUGGGUUUUUCUCUGUAUGUAUUAUUGUAGGGUCUACCUUCCUAUAUAAAGCUCUUUGAGGCGACUGUUGUGAUUUGGUGCUUUAUUAAUAAAAUUGAAUCAAAUUCAAAGUAAAAAUAAAACAUCAAAAUAAAAUAAAAAUAAAACAAAUCUACUUGUUGGUUGUUUUGUGUUGUUUCCAGUAACAUUUGAUCUUUUCCCAUCUCUUCCUGGUUAUUUUGCAUGUCUGUUUUGUGUUGUUAUGAUGGUGAGCAUGUUGUCUUGCUUGUCUCUCUUUAGUCAUUGCGUUUCUUUUUGUAACAAUAUUCCAUUAUUUUUUAUUCCAUUCUUUUUUUCUCAUUUUUGUCUCGUGUGGGUUAUUUUCCAUCUUUUUUGGUCAUUUUUUUCUGACUUUGUGUUAUUUUGUGUUUCUUUUGUUGCUGCGUGUGUUGGUUUUGUUUGUCUCUUUGGCCAUUUUGUGCGAAUAUUUCACAUUUUUGUUGUUAGUUUUGUCUCUGUUUGAUUAAAUGUCAUUUUUUUAAUGUUUUCUUGAUUUUCUUUUUUUUUAGUUUUUUUUUUGCAUGUUUGUUUUAUUUUGUCUCUUCUAUGUAUCGGAUUUUGUGUGUUCCUUUUUGUGAUCCUUUUGACUCUGUGGUCAUUUUGUGUAUUGUAUGGUUAGUUUUUUUUGUUUUGUUUUUGGGCCAAGUUGCUCAGUAAUAUAUUCUUGAUGCUUGAUUAUCACUUCGGUAGUGUGGAAGGGGGAGCCACCAGUGUGUCAUCGGGGGGAUUGUGAAUGUGUGUAUCUUAUAAACCUGAAAGGACUGGAGUGCUGUGACGCUGAAUAUUAACGCAGCAGAAAGUGUGUGCAUGUCAUGUGUGAAAUCAGCAGUGAAAUUGCACCUCCGUGUCUGGCUUUGACUUUUUCAUUCCAACAUGCAAACACAAACCAACCGCAAGAUGUUGCCGGAUGAUAUCAUUUUCACCAUUAUCAUAUGCACCCACAUGACACACACACACACACACACACACACACACACACACACACACACACACACACACACACACACACACACACACUGUCAAAUGCAUGCAUACUGUCUACAGUUCCUCCCUCUCACUCACCCACCUCUUUUCGAUUAUUCAUAACGAGAUUCUCCAAAAGAAGCUCUUGGUUAUGAUAUCCGGUGUGCAAAGACAGGAAGCUCAUCUAUAGGUACCAUCCCCGACUCUAAAGACACUGAAUCAGUGUCUUUAUGUGAGACUCAGCUUACAUAAAGACACCGGUUCUUCGUAUUUCCCAAUGAAACAGGAAUAAAAACCAAACUCAGACUUAAUUAUAGCACAAAUAUUUGUGUGUAGGAUCACUUCUUUUUUUUUCUUUUUUUUUUUUUUUUUUGGUAGGAUCACUUCAAGUAGCGGUGUUGGAGACUCUGUGGUCGCAUUGGUGUUAAUCAGUUAAACUACUUUUUGGUCUUUUGAAAAUAUGAAAAUAAAAUAUUGUAUUUUGGCCAUGAUAUGUAACACUCUCUGAUAUAUUUAAAUCCUGAAAAAUUAUAAUGUGGUCAUUUUUUUUUAACCUUCUUGCGAGGGGUGCAGUGGUUAGCACUGUUGCCUCACAGUAACGGGGUCCCUGGUUCAAAUCUGCCGCCUGGCUGGGGCCUUUCUGAGUGCACACUCCAUGUUCUCUGUCUCUCCAGGUAGUCAGGCUUCCUCCCACAUCCAGAGGCAUGCGCGUGAGGUUAGCAGGUUGUUUUCUGAUUUAUUGUCUCUCUGUAUUAGGCCUACGACAAUCUUUUCCUUUGUUUGUAGCCAAUUUGCAUUUUUAUUGUGAUUUAUUCUGGUCAUUGUGGUCAUUUUUAUGCCUUUAGGGCUGGUUUUCAGUGGUGUGUGAUGAUUGGGUGCCUCCUUAACGCAGUUACUUUCAGUUUUCUGUCUGUUUAGUGUUAUUUUGCAUUUUUAUUGUGACUUUAUGUUCCUAGCUGUAAUACUGUGAUUAUGUUUUGCCUCUUUUUUUUCAUCAUCACUUUUUGGCCAUUUUUGUGCUUAUUUGCAUUUUCAGUAUUGUUUCGUUUGGUUGCUGUGACCAUCCCUUGGAUCAUUUUACACAUUAAAAAAAAGAAUUUUGAAUCUCAUUAUUAUUGCCACUUUUGCUUUCUAGUCAUUACUUUUUACUCUUUGUAGUCUUUUAGGUUUUUGUUGUUGUUCCUUUUGUCUUUGUGGUCAUCUUUUUGCCAGAUUUGAUUUUGUAUUGGUUGUUUGUUUUGAUUUUGGGUUACCCCCCCCCCCCCCUUUUUUUUUCCCCCCACUUUCUGAUUUUUUAUUUUUAUUUGUUUGUAGUCGUUUUUGACUUCUUUUGUUUCCCCCUCUGUGAUCGUCCACUAACCGCUCUGUGAUCAACCUGUGUGGCUUUGUGUUAUCUUCUUGUUUAUAUGUUUUGCUAGUUCCCAUGAGAGAAAAAUAACAUCAAAAUACAGUAUGCACCUCGCAGUGUGAAUAGACAAACUUCAGAAUAACAUUUUCCAUGAUAAACACGGAGGAGUCCUUCUCCACCAAAUGGAAGAAAUAGAUCUUCUUCACUGUAAACAAUUACUGUGAAAUACCUGAAUAUAAAUAAAGAGUCUAGACACAAAGUUACACUCAUUUCCUUUUCUAAAAAUGUGUUUGUCUGUGAUUUCCCCUGCCUUUACUAAUCAGCUCAUUUAAAUCUGUAUGGAUAUAUAGUUUCCCAACAAAAGAAAGUGUGACCUUUAACAUAUGACUCACUGAAUCCCACGGAUUUCACAAAUGCCUCUUUUCAUUGAACUGGGAAAAAUAUCACCGAAAAUGAAACCUCCUCAGUUUGAGCUUUCGUAUCUUUGUGCCUUUCCCUUUUCCUGACUUUCCGAAUCUUUGUCAGGCCAGUCCCAAAAACACGGUGACACAUUCCCCACAUGUAACCCUCAUGGUAUCCGUAAAGCCAUCAAAAAGCUUUUUUUUGUUCUUUGCUGAUUUUGCUCCCUGGUUGCAUCAUGCAAUCCCAGGAAUAUGCG